AUCGAACGCUGGCGGCAGGCCUAACACAUGCAAGUCGAGCGAGCGGCGGACGGGUGAGCAAUGUAUGGGGAUCUGCCCGAUAGAGGGGGAUAACUACUGGAAACGGUGGCUAAUACCGCAUACUAUCGGAUGAACCCAGAUGGGAUUAGGUAGGUGGUGAGGUAAAGGCUCAUCAACCGACGAUCUCUAGCUGGUCUGAGAGGAUGACCGGCCACACUGGGACUGAGACACGGCCCAGACUCCUACGGGAGGCAGCAGUGGGGAAUAUUGCGCAAGGGGGGCAACCCUGACGCAGCCAUGCCGCGUGAAUGAAGAAGGCCUUCGGGUUGUAAAGUUCUUUCGGUAGCGAGGCGUUAACUACAGAAAAAGCACCGGCUAACUCCGUGCCAGCAGCCGCGGUAAUAC
rnacentral:rRNA from 1 species